GGAAGUGAGAGCAAUCUGGCUGUGACAUCUGUCACCCCACUAGUCACCAGGGUUGAUUCAGCUGAUCUGGCUGGCUAGGCAGAUGUCCCCUUCCUCCCUCACCAUUCCAUGUGCAUCCCUCCCAAACCUGCGUGCUUGGGCAAAGAGGACGACCAUCCCUGAUAGAGGAGACUGGUCUUCAGUCAAGGGUAUACCAGUAGCUGUGCUCCCCUGCUAGAACCUCCAAACAAGCUGUUAUAGCAACACAAAACAGUCUAAGACAUGGAUUAUCUAUCUAUGUUGUGAAAUUAAAUGUAGUGUCGAAGCUGUAGAGGACCUUGGAUAUAACCUA
rfam:Papio anubis isolate 1X1155 chromosome 15, whole genome shotgun sequence.